ACUCGCCUGCCCACUUGCCUACGCGGUGCCCGACUUCCGCUGGUGAUAGGAGACCGCCGAGUUCUUGUUGCCGAAGCUGAAACUCCAAUACUUUGGUCACCUGAUGCGAAGAACUGACUCACUGGAAAAGACCCUGAUGCUGAGAAAGAUUGAAGGCGAUCGGGCACCCAGGCCAGUCAUCUGAGUUGGGAGGAGACAAGGGACAAAAGAAAAUCCUUGUUCCGGCCACUGGGUCAGCAUCAUGGACCAUGGACGCCCCUAGAUUCCAGCCCAGGGCCACAGCCAUCAAAUCCAAAGCCUGCAUCCUCCCCGUGGUCCUCACCAGUUUCAUCGUAACUGUCUUCCUGGGCUGAGUCCUUUCCAGGACCAGGUACUGACGGCAGAAUUCGGAGAGCCAAGAAGUCAGAGCCAGGAGUUCUGAGCCUGCCUUCCUGUGAUGGUGACGCAGUAGCUGUGUUGUCUCAUGUGUCCUGUUAUGUCUGGACUCUGGGGUUCUUUCUGUGUUCAGAGAAACAACUUCAGAGUAUUUUCAAUGGAAGAAAGUAUUAUGUGAGUGUCUCUUUUAGUCAUUUUAUUUCCUAAUACUAAUACUUAAGUCAGUACCUUGCUAUUGCAAAAAACAUAAAUUCUUCAGCUUUCUUUUUCUAAUCAAGGAGGGAACUCAGGACAUUUUACCCUUUUUCCACCUACUGGGAUUAAAUAGAACUGAUGAUUCUGCUACAUUCAUUGUGGAAGCAGAGAAUAAAAAACACUCUUAAAGUAACCUGCAGCCUAGCCAUUGAGUUGGCAGCGUGCCAAGAAGCUAUUUUUGUUACUGUCAGUGGAAUCUUGACAGCAACUCAUCUCUUCUACACACGCCUUCCAUUGUAGACCACGUAUGGUCACCUCGGCCAGUCGAAUUAACACUCGGGUGCAUUGGGUGAGAGUGAAUCUUGAUCACUGAAGACAAAGUCCGCCAGGUUAGGAUGGAGAAGGAAGUAGGAAAAAAAAUGCAGGAUGACUGAGAGGAAGAUGGAAAAAGAAGCAAAAGAGGCAGCUGGGAGGCGGGGGUGGGGUGGGGAGAGCUGUUGUUGGAAGGAGGGGAGAAGCCAACAGAACGCUGAGCAUUUUGUUCACAAAAGUUAAGGACUCUUUGAGGGUGGGAUAUUUAAAGUGAAUUUUGCUUUUUAAUGUCACUGCUGGGUUGGUUUGUUGUUUUUUUUUUUUUUUUUUUUUGUGGGUGUUUUUGCUGUUUUUAUUGAGGAAUUACAUUUGAAUACUUGCAAGAUACUUCCUUGGUAUAAUUGUUCUUUGCAUUGUUUUUCAACAGGGCUUCCUCAGUCUCUGACUGAAGACUUUGGGCGGUGGGUGGAGGCAGAGAUAUAGACACACUCCAGGCUAAGAUUUGCCCCUUACUCUUCUAAAACUGCUGGAAGGAAUGUCUCUAGCUCACACCGCAGGCCAUCUUUUGGUGAUACUGCAGCUGAUAGAACCCAGGAAGACUCUGGGCAAUGCCCACUCUCUGUGCCUUAACCUCACUGUCAAAUCUCAGUCCAGACCUGGCCAGCCCUGGUGUCAAGUCCAGGGCUCCGUGGACACAAAGCCUUUCCUCCAGUGUGACAGUGACAGCAACAGGUCAGACCUUUGGGUUUCCUGGGGGAGGAGGUAAACGACACCAAAGCGUGGACUGAAUUGAGCCAGACGCUGGGAGAAGCAGGAAGAGAGCUCAG